rnacentral:pre_miRNA from 15 species
CAUAGUCGUACGGUGAAUGUUGUGUAUUGGACCAAUGUUAACUGUAAGACUGUG